rnacentral:rRNA from 1 species
GAUGAACGCUGGCGGCGUGCCUAAUACAUGCCAGUCGAGCGAACAGAUGAGGAGCUUGCUCCUCUGACGUUAGCGGCGGACGGGUGAGUAACACGUGGAUAACCUACCUAUAAGACUGGGAUAACUUCGGGAAACCGGAGCUAAUACCGGAUAAUAUAUUGAACCGCAUGGUUCAAUAGUGAAAGACGGUUUUGCUGUCACUUAUAGAUGGAUCCGCGCCGCAUUAGCUAGUUGGUAAGGUAACGGCUUACCAAGGCAACGAUGCGUAGCCGACCUGAGAGGGUGAUCGGCCACACUGGAACUGAGACACGGUCCAGACUCCUACGGGAGGCAGCAGUAGGGAAUCUUCCGCAAUGGGCGAAAGCCUGACGGAGCCACGCCGCGUGAGUGAUGAAGGUCUUCGGAUCGUAAAACUCUGUUAUUAGGGAAGAACAAAUGUGUAAGUAACUAUGCACGUCUUGACGGUACCUAAUCAGAAAGCCACGGCUAACUACGUG